UACGAAGGGGGCUAGCGUUGCUCGGAAUCACUGGGCGUAAAGCGCGCGCAGGCGGUCCUUUAAGUCUGAUGUGAAAGCCCACGGCUCAACCGUGGAAGGUCAUUGGAAACUGGAGGACUUGAGUACAGAAGAGGAAAGCGGAAUUCCACGUGUAGCGGUGAAAUGCGUAGAGAUGUGGAGGAACACCAGUGGCGAAGGCGGCUUUCUGGUCUGUAACUGACGCUGAGGCGCGAAAGCGUGGGGAGCAAACAGG
rnacentral:rRNA from 1 species